AUGGGAUGGAGCUGGAUCAUUCUUUUCCUCCUGUCAGUAAUUACAGGUGUCCACUCCCAGGUCCAGCUUCAGCAGUCUGGUCCUGGGCUGGUGAAACCUGGUUCCUCAAUGAAGUUGUCCUGCAAGGCUUCUGGCUACACCUUCACUUACUAUGAUAUAAACUGGGUGAAGCAGAGUCCUGGACAGGGCCUGGAGUGGAUUGGAAGGUUUUAUCCUGGAAAUGGUAAUACUAAGUACAAUCAGAAGUUCCAGGGCAAGGCCACACUGACUGCAGACACAUCCUCCAGCACAGCCUACAUGGAUCUCAGCAGCCUGAUAUCUGAGGACUCUGCAUUCUAUUACUGUGCAAGACACACAGUGCUUCAACCACAUCCUGAGUGUGUCAGAAACCCUGCAGGAUCAGGAAGCUGUCCUGGGUCUGAGAUGACAGAGAUGAUUAGCUUGGAGACUUUCUCAAAAAUCAUUAUUCUGACUGUCCCUUUGUCUGUCAUUUCACAGGCUUGUAGGAUCUUUGUCAACUUUUCAAAAGGACUGCUGGGAAUAAGGUGA